GACGAACGCUGGCGGCGUGCCUAACACAUGCAAGUCGAGCGAGUGAAUCUCCUUCGGGAGUGAAGCUAGCGGCGGACGGGUGAGUAACACGUGGGCAACCUGCCUCAUAGAGGGGAAUAGCCUUUCGAAAGGAAGAUUAAUACCGCAUAAGAUUGUAGCUUCGCAUGAAGUAGCAAUUAAAGGAGCAAUCCGCUAUGAGAUGGGCCCGCGUCGCAUUAGCUAGUUGGUGAGGUAACGGCUCACCAAGGCGACGAUGCGCAGCCGACCUGAGAGGGUGAUCGGCCACAUUGGGACUGAGACACGGCCCAGACUCCUACGGGAGGCAGCAGUGGGGAAUAUUGCACAAUGGGGGAAACCCUGAUGCAGCAACGCCGCGUGAGUGAUGACGGCCUUCGGGUUGUAAAGCUCUGUCUUCAGGGACGAUAAUGACGGUACCUGAGGAGGAAGCCACGGCUAACUACGUGCCAGCAGCCGCCGUAAUAC
rnacentral:rRNA from 1 species